GGACAUGUAGCUCAGAGGUAGAACAUUUGCCUUGCAUGCAGAAGGUCCCAGGUUCCAUCCCCAGCUUCUCCA